AAUCCAUAGGUUAAUGAGGCGAACCGGGGGAACUGAAACAUCUAAGUACCCCGAGGAAAAGAAAUCAACCGAGAUUCCCCCAGUAGCGGCGAGCGAACGGGGAGGAGCCCAGAGCCUGAAUCAGCAUGUGUGUUAGUGGAAGCGUCUGGAAAGGCGCGCGAUACAGGGUGACAGCCCCGUACACAAAAGCGCAUGUGCUGUGAGCUCGAUGAGUAGGGCGGGACACGUGGUAUCCUGUCUGAAUAUGGGGGGACCAUCCUCCAAGGCUAAAUACUCCUGACUGACCGAUAGUGAACCAGUACCGUGAGGGAAAGGCGAAAAGAACCCCGGCGAGGGGAGUGAAAAAGAACCUGAAACCGUGUACGUACAAGCAGUGGGAGCACCCUUUGGGUGUGACUGCGUACCUUUUGUAUAAUGGGUCAGCGACUUAUAUUCUGUAGCAAGGUUAACCGAAUAGGGGAGCCGGAGGGAAACCGAGUCUUAACCGGGCGUUAAGUUGCAGGGUAUAGACCCGAAACCCGGUGAUCUAGCCAUGGGCAGGUUGAAGGUUGGGUAACACUAACUGGAGGACCGAACCGACUAAUGUUGAAAAAUUAGCGGAUGACCUGUGGCUGGGGGUGAAAGGCCAAUCAAACCGGGAGAUAGCUGGUUCUCCCCGAAAGCUAUUUAGGUAGCGCCUCGUGAAUUCAUCUCCGGGGGUAGAGCACUGUUUCGGCUAGGGGGCCAUCCCGGCUUACCAACCCGAUGCAAACUGCGAAUACCGGAGAAUGUUAUCACGGGAGACACACGGCGGGUGCUAACGUCCGUCGUGAAGAGGGAAACAACCCAGACCGCCAGCUAAGGUCCCAAAGUCAUGGUUAAGUGGGAAACGAUGUGGGAAGGCCCAGACAGCCAGGAUGUUGGCUUAGAAGCAGCCAUCAUUUAAAGAAAGCGUAAUAGCUCACUGGUCGAGUCGGCCUGCGCGGAAGAUGUAACGGGGCUAAACCAUGCACCGAAGCUGCGGCAGCGACACUGUGUGUUGUUGGGUAGGGGAGCGUUCUGUAAGCCUGUGAAGGUGUGUCGUGAGGCAUGCUGGAGGUAUCAGAAGUGCGAAUGCUGACAUAAGUAACGAUAAAGCGGGUGAAAAGCCCGCUCGCCGGAAGACCAAGGGUUCCUGUCCAACGUUAAUCGGGGCAGGGUGAGUCGACCCCUAAGGCGAGGCCGAAAGGCGUAGUCGAUGGGAAACGGGUUAAUAUUCCCGUACUUGGUGUUACUGCGAAGGGGGGACGGAGAAGGCUAUGUUGGCCGGGCGACGGUUGUCCCGGUUUAAGCGUGUAGGUGUGUGUUCCAGGUAAAUCCGGUUCACUUUAACACUGAGGCGUGACGACGAGGCACUACGGUGCUGAAGCAACAAAUGCCCUGCUUCCAGGAAAAGCCUCUAAGCAUCAGGUAACAUCAAAUCGUACCCCAAACCGACACAGGUGGUCAGGUAGAGAAUACCAAGGCGCUUGAGAGAACUCGGGUGAAGGAACUAGGCAAAAUGGUGCCGUAACUUCGGGAGAAGGCACGCUGACACGUAGGUGAAGUGAUUUACUCAUGGAGCUGAAGUCAGUCGAAGAUACCAGCUGGCUGCAACUGUUUAUUAAAAACACAGCACUGUGCAAACACGAAAGUGGACGUAUACGGUGUGACGCCUGCCCGGUGCCGGAAGGUUAAUUGAUGGGGUCAGCGCAAGCGAAGCUCCUGAUCGAAGCCCCGGUAAACGGCGGCCGUAACUAUAACGGUCCUAAGGUAGCGAAAUUCCUUGUCGGGUAAGUUCCGACCUGCACGAAUGGCGUAAUGAUGGCCAGGCUGUCUCCACCCGAGACUCAGUGAAAUUGAACUCGCUGUGAAGAUGCAGUGUACCCGCGGCAAGACGGAAAGACCCCGUGAACCUUUACUAUAGCUUGACACUGAACAUUGAGCCUUGAUGUGUAGGAUAGGUGGGAGGCUUUGAAGUGUGGACGCCAGUCUGCAUGGAGCCGACCUUGAAAUACCACCCUUUAAUGUUUGAUGUUCUAACGUGGACCCGUUACCCGGGUUGCGGACAGUGUCUGGUGGGUAGUUUGACUGGGGCGGUCUCCUCCUAAAGAGUAACGGAGGAGCACGAAGGUUGGCUAAUCCUGGUCGGACAUCAGGAGGUUAGUGCAAUGGCAUAAGCCAGCUUGACUGCGAGCGUGACGGCGCGAGCAGGUGCGAAAGCAGGUCAUAGUGAUCCGGUGGUUCUGAAUGGAAGGGCCAUCGCUCAACGGAUAAAAGGUACUCCGGGGAUAACAGGCUGAUACCGCCCAAGAGUUCAUAUCGACGGCGGUGUUUGGCACCUCGAUGUCGGCUCAUCACAUCCUGGGGCUGAAGUAGGUCCCAAGGGUAUGGCUGUUCGCCAUUUAAAGUGGUACGCGAGCUGGGUUUAGAACGUCGUGAGACAGUUCGGUCCCUAUCUGCCGUGGGCGCUGGAGAACUGAGGGGGGCUGCUCCUAGUACGAGAGGACCGGAGUGGACGCAUCACUGGUGUUCGGGUUGUCAUGCCAAUGGCACUGCCCGGUAGCUAAAUGCGGAAGAGAUAAGUGCUGAAAGCAUCUAAGCACGAAACUUGCCCCGAGAUGAGUUCUCCCUGAGACUUAAAGUCUCCUGAAGGAACGUUGAAGACGACGACGUUGAUAGGC
rnacentral:rRNA from 1 species